rnacentral:rRNA from 1 species
UGGGGAAUUUGGACAAUGGGCGAAAGCCUGAUCCAGCAAUGCCGCGUGUGUGAAGAAGGCCUUCGGGUUGUAAAGCACUUUUGUCCGGAAAGAAAUCCUUGGCUCUAAUACAGUCGGGGGAUGACGGUACCGGAAGAAUAAGCACCGGCUAACUACGUGCCAGCAGCCGCGGUAAUACGUAGGGUGCAAGCGUUAAUCGGAAUUACUGGGCGUAAAGCGUGCGCAGGCGGUUUGUUAAGUCAGAUGUGAAAUCCCCGGGCUCAACCUGGGAACUGCAUUUGAAAACUGGCAAGCUAGAGUCUCGUAGAGGGGGGUAGAAUUCCAGGUGUAGCGGUGAAAAUGCGUAGAGAUCUGGAGGAAUACCGGUGGCGAAGGCGGCCCCCCUGGACGAAGACUGACGCUCAGGUGCGAAAGCGUGGGGAGCAAACAGGAUUAGAUACCCUGGUAGUCCACGCUGUAAAACGAUGUCGAUUUUGGAGGUUGUGCCCUUGAGGCGUGGCUUCCGGAGCUAACGCGUUAAAUCGACCGCCUGGGGAGUACGGCCGCAAGGUUAAAACUCAAAGGAAUUGACGGGGUCUAGCUGUUUCC